AACCCUCUCCCUGCACGUAGGCACCAAGGAAAGGUCAUCUGAGGACAUCACCCGGAAGAGCGCUGUCAGCAGAACCCGAUGUGCAGCCUCUCCGACCUCAGACCUGCAGCCUCCAGAACCACAAGAAAUAAAUGUUCAAGCCACCAAAUCUAUGGUAAUUUGUCAUGGCAGCCUGAGCUGAACACAUUUGCUUCUCUGUCCCCGGUGCGAUGAGCACUAUUCAUGGCAGUCAAGAUUUGGAAGCAAUCCAAUUGUCCAUCAACAGAUGGAUGAAUGAAUAAGGAAAAUGUGCUGCAUACACACCAUGGGGCACUAUCCAGCUGUGAAAAAGAAAGAGAUCCUGCCUUGUGCAACAACAUGGAUGGAAUUGGAGGACAUGAUAUUACGUGAAAUAAGACAGCUGCAGAAUCACAGGAGUGAAAAAGAAAAAGGAAGUUGUUGGCCAGGCGCGGUAGCUCACGCCUGUAAUACCAGCACUUUGGGAGGCCAAGGCAGGCGGAUCACGAGGUCAGGAGAUAGAGACCAUCCUGGCUAACACGGUGAAACCUCAUCUCUCCUAAAUAUACAAAAAAAUUAGGCAUGGUGGCGGGCACCUGUAGUCCCAGCUACUCGGGAGGCUGAGGCAGGAGAAUGGCGUGAACCCGGGAGGCGGAGUUUGCAGGGAGCCGAGAUAGCGCCACUGCACUCCAGCCUGGGUGACAGAGUGAGAUUCUGUCUCAAAAAAAAAAAAAAAAAAAAAAAAAGAAAGAGGAAGUGUGUGCUUUACCUUGUCAAAACUGAACAAAAAUGUAUAUGUCUAUUAUGUAUCAAGAAAAAAUAAAAUUUUUUGUAAAACUGAACUUACUAUGUCCUUGAAGGAAAAGUCUUCUUGAUUUAUCCAAGGAGAAACGGAAACCCGUUGCUACCAGAUUUCCUCCCAGUCAGGCCUGCACCCUCCCUCUUUUGGGUCCCAUGGAGCUCUCUGGUCCACCAGCCAGGGAACACUUGCCACUUUGACUUCAGCUAUGGGGAUGCAUGCCUUCUCCCAGGAAGUGCAAGCUGCCUUCUGAUGAUAUCGGUCUUGGUGGCCUCACAGCCCUUAGCACAAUGGGUGGUUCAUAGGAGAUGAUUAGCAAUUUUGUUGAACUGAUGAAUUAAUUAUAAAAUUUGGUAAGUAGAUGUGAUAAAUUUUGUAUUGCUUAAGUCUACUUUGGGCAUUUUGGAGGAAUCUCCUUACCCUGUCUUUAAAAUCUUUCUCCUUUCUGAAAAGUAAGAUUUGGAUCAAAUUAAUAAUCAAAUUUUGUUUGAAAUCCACACGUUAGGCAUGUUUUCUAACUCACAAUUCCUACUGCACUUAAAACACCUCCUGUACUUUCCUUUCCCUGAAAGUAUCUUGGUAUAAGAGAUGGCAACCUAUAUAAAUCCAAUUCUCUAGUAACAAGGUAGAAAUUGCACUUAGAAAAAACUAGCUCAUUCUGCUUAAAUAUAGCGAUUUCUAGGGAUUGAGUAAUGUGGACAUGGGUAUAUUUCUGGACUGUCUCCAUUCCAAGACUUCUGUGGGUUCCUGAGAAGAAGCUGAUGUUCUAAUCUGUCUAAAUUACCUAACGCUGGUGUGAGGAUGGUCGAGUCAAAAGAGCUGCUAAAAACAACAUCAACAACAGCCAUUUCUUCCAGAAAACUCAAAGAAACCUUAUGGAUAUAUACUCAAUAGGCAUCAGGACAUUUGUAAGAAAAGAGCCAAUGUAGGCAAAACUGAAUAAAAUAAGAUGUCAAUCCCUGUGACUCCCACGUACCUAUUAUCUAGUCAUUCAUUUGUUUAAUUCUUCCUAUUCAGCCUAUAAGUGUUUCUAAGCACUUAUUUCACUGGCGAUCAACAGUAACCAAUAAAAUUCACUCAUGAAUCAACAG
rnacentral:lncRNA from 10 species